rnacentral:rRNA from 1 species
UAUUUUGACUAUACAAAGGUAUUGUAAUAAGAUUUUAAUUGAAUGCUAAAAGAAUGGAAAUUUAAAAAAAAACUUUUUUAAAAAUAAAAAUUGAAUUUUUUUUAAUUUGUGCAAAAACAAUUAUUAUUAUUAAAGACAAGAAGACCCUAAGAAUUUAUGAUUUUGUAAAAAAAAGUUUUUUUUAAAAAAUCUUGAUUGGGGCGAUCAAAAAAUAUUAAUAACUUUUUAAAUUUAAAUUGAUCUAUUAUUAAUAAACUAAUGAAUUAAAUA